CAAAAUUGUAUUGCGUUUUCCAUCCACUUCUAUUUUUAUCGUAUAUCCUUGUUUAAUUUAUAUAUUAUGACAAAGUUAGCUACUUCCCAAAUGUCAAUAUUCCUCAUUAAGCGACCUCUGGAAGAGGAAUUAAAAGCUUCAAACCGGAAAACGGAUACGAUCUCCGAACAUCCAAGAAGGUUUCCUAGCUAGAUUUCCUUUGUUUUGUACAGAAUAUGGCUGCCAUAUUUAGUUUAGAUGUCUCUUUUAAAAAGUGUUAUAGAAUUUGUCCUAAAUAUGCGGUAAUAUUAUAGCAAGUUAUUGCUAGAUUGGUGAAUAUAAACGGUAAAAUGUGUUAAAGUUAUUAGAAAGUUCUUUAAAAGCUUCGCAGUGUUGGUUUUAGUAAAAAAUGUUACUGUUUACAUCCUUCUUCCAAUACUUACAUUUCAUUUUAAGCAUUUUCAGGAAACUGUAGUGACCUGGAUACCACAAAUUCAAUUUCAAAGGGUGGUGGUGGGGAUGCCACUCAUUACACAUUAAAUCAGAUAAACGUUGAAGAGAAGAAAAAUGACUCAACUACUAGUGCUUCUGGAACGAUGAGUGUUUGUUUUGAAUCAUCGAAUGUACUCACCAAUGUGGUGAGUACAUCUUCAGAGACUUCAUUAGAAGAAAAUGUUCCAAUUACUAGUGUUAUGAGUCAACCCACAGUGGGUACAACCGUAGUGCAGCCAAUUGUAUCCAAUACAAUUCCAACAAGUAGUGAUAAAAGUGAGCAGCCCCCUCUUCCAACAAAGAGCAUCGCAAAGCUGGUUGUAGCUAAUGCAGCAGCUAGCACAAGUUCUGUUCUCCAGAAGGUUGUUAAUCCUCCAGUGAUAACAGUUUUGAAUCCAUCAGGACCUUUGACAGUGGUGAAGACUUUAUGUGUUACUUCUGGAGUAUCGAGUACCCCUCAGUUCACGUUAGUAAAUUCAGCACCUUUGAAUGUCACUAAUGCUGUUGGAAAACCACCUACUAUCACCCUUCUUAACGCACCUGUGACGGUUGUUAAGGCAAUAACAACACCACAAAAUGUGGAGAAAAAUUUAUCAGAAGCAGCCACUACAGGGACCCCAAGCAAUACACCUGUCUCGACAAUUAUUGAAAAUAGAGCACACAAUGUUUUUGUUAAAAAUACAUGCCCAGAUUCAACUGUUGUGGAUAUUCCACAGAGCCAUAAAAUACUGACAACAAAUAAUUUUCCCCAAACAAAUAUGAUGACAAAUUCUCAGACGAAAACAUUAAAUGGACAAAGAAACAAAGUCAAAAUUGUAAGCAAUGUGGUAGUUCCGGGAACUUCACAAACAAACAGCAAUGUUUUGAUGAACAAAUCUAACCAACAGCGCUAUAUUCCAAGACAAACAGUUAUGGGUCCAAAUGGCGCAACUACAAAGUACCUAAACAAGCCUUCUGCAAGUAAUUUUGUAAAACCUAAUGUUAGUUCUUCAAUGAAGAUGGUACAUGAUAAAUCUCCAACUAGGAUGAACUAUCCUACCCAUAAGAAUCAAAUUAAAACACUUCCUCCUGUAAAUAAUUACUUACAGAAACCACAUCAACAUAGUAUAAAAACAAUAUCACCCCAAAAUAAAAAUAUUCCAGGUCAAGUUACCAGGACUGGAUCUGGUUUAAGAACUAUUCCUCCUCAGAAGUCACAUAAAUUAUCUAAUAAACCAAAUUACAUUGGCAAACAUGCAGUUCAAGCACAGAAAGGAAAACCACCACAUAAUAAAAUGAAAGGACUCAAAUUACCUACUAAUGCCCAUUAUAAUGUUAAUGUGCCACCAAUGCCCGACAAACACUUAAGUGAGCUAACAUUUAACCAGGCGUUGACUGCACAAAUAAUCGAGACUUUAAGCAAUUCUAGUAGCACUGUGCAAAAUAGUAGAUAUGAUAUGCCUUCAAGAUAUGAUAGUGCAUUUACUUGUCCAGAGAUGAAAAAACCACACAGUUCUUUUUUAAAGGAGAAUUUUAUUAAAAAUGUCUCUAAAAUGUGUAUGGUUCCAUUUACUAAUUCUCUGAUGCCUGCUUGUGACGAUGGUGCAGCAUCAAAUAUUUCAGAGGAAUUUGAGCAUAAUUAUGACACUGAAGAAGAAGAAACUGAUACAGCUUCUGAAGUGGAAGCUGUUGAUAAUAAUAAUUUUAAUGGUGAAACUUGCAAGUCUACAGAAGAUUCAAAUAAAUCUGGUCUGGAUGCAUUGUCUGUAAUGUGUCAAGCAGUAUUAUUAGAUCACAAUUAUCAUGCAACUUUACCACCAGAUUCACCAAUAAGACCAUCUCCUACAAUUACUGUUCCUCCACAAAUAAAUGGUAUAUCUCAACCUUCCAUAUAUUCACCAGGAUCAUCAAAACGGCGACCAAUGCCAAUGUCCAGCACAGUAACUUCUCCGCCUAUCUCAAAUGUAUCCAGCAUGUCAAUGAUUCCAGUUAGUAAUUCUAUGUUGCCUGUCCAUGAUGACGAUGCUGCAUCAGAUAUUUCAGAUGGAUCUGAUCGUAAACAUGACACUGAAGGAGAGGAAACUGAUACUGCCCCUGAAGCAGAAGCUGUCAAUAAUGAUAAUCUUGAUGGUUAUGGAGACUAUGUAACAAGGUGUAUUUGUAAUUAUAUCCAUGAUGAUGGUUACAUGGUAGAGUGUGAUAAAUGCAAGGUAUGGCAACAUGUACAAUGUGUUGUGAAAAACCGGCAGGUUCCAGAUGAAUACUUGUGUGAGGAAUGUGAUCCAACAAAGCCCAUAGAUAGACAGAAAGCUCGUGUCAUUCAGCAACAAUGGUUGAGGGAUAGACAACUUAUAGAUCCCAAAUUACGGAAGGAUCCAAAAAUAAAGGAGGCAUUUAAACCAAAGGAAACUGUUACUGAUACAGAUUCUUCUGAUGGAGAACAUGUACCUCCAAGUUUUCCUACUAAGAAUAGAGUGUUGGCAAACCGAAGAAAGCUCGAAAAUCAUGCUAAACAGGCUGCUAUUCGACAGCGACGAGAAGCAGCCAAAGAAGCAGCUCAGAAAAGACAGAAACGGAAAGAACGGAAAAUUGUGAGGAAAAAGACAAAAGUUCCAGUAAAACAUAGUGAUGAUGAAAAUCAGGACACUUGGGCGAUCCAUCUUCCUCAACUCAGACAAUGGAUAGAAAAAUAUGAGGAGGCUGUCACAAACCACUACUCUCCUGAGUUAAGAGCGAGAAUAUCAAGCAUUAGGGUGAACGGUGCUCAUUCUGAAUCAAAUGUUCAAUUCGACCCAACAUCCAACAAAAGUCGGGUUCAUACUCAACCUCUCACAGAAAUCAAAUACCUAGUGGCCACAGCACAUCUCCCUCCCAAUACGUUUGUUGUCGAAUUAAUGGGUAAAUAUAUGCUGUCAACGCAGCAUCGAAAUUCCGGCGGUUCUUUAACGACGCGACAGCAUUCUCAAAGACCAGGACCGUUUUUGUUCUUUUAUCGACUGCACAAGGACAAUACAGAAGUAUGUGUCGAUACGAGGACAUACGGCAACACUACUCGAUUUAUCAGGCGUUCUUGUAAGCCGAAUGCAGAGUUAAGGCAUUGCAUCGAAAAGGGUGCUUUACAUAUUUACGUAGCGACCACGACGGCGGUUGACAAGAAUUUUGAGCUGACAAUCAAACACGAAUCUCAUGAUCUGGCAGCCGUAGGAACGACGAGUAUUGCCUGUGCUUGCGGGAACUCAGAAGAAUGUGGUGUAAAUAGGACGUCUGUAAAGAAAAAUGGAGAUGUUGUGGAGGUCCCCGUCCGGAAAAGGAGAGGUCGUCGAGUUACUUCUGCAAGUCUUCCAGAACCGGAUCCACCCAAACCAGUUAAGGAAGAACCCCCUCCAGUUAUAUCACCUCCUCCAGCACCACUGUCUCCAGUAAAACCCAAAAUCGAAAAGAUUAAAGAGGAGGAAAAAGUUGAGCAUAUUAUAAAGGAAGAAAUAAAAGAAGAGGUUCCUGAAGAUCCUAUUCCAGAAGUUGAGAAACCUGAACCUAUAAAAGAAGAAAUAAAAGAAGAGAUAAAAGAAGAAGAGGUCAUAAUAAAGGAAGAAGCACCCGAAGUAGAGAUUAAAAAGGAAGAAGAAGAAGUCGAAGAGCAACCAGAAGAACCUGAAAAUGAAAAAUCUCUGGAAGAAAUCAAGAGUCCUCCUCGUACACCCAUAUCUACCAGAAGGGCUUCCCAUAAAACUGACAAAGAAGAUGAUAAAUCUUCUUCCCCUAAGACAGAAAGAACCGAAAAAUCCAAGAAGUUAAGUAGAGAGGAACGAAAAUUGGAGGCGAUUUUAAGGGCCAUUGAUCAGAUGGAGAAGGCACAGUCUAGGAAACAAGAACACCAAGCCAAACAAGCCCAUAGGCGAGAAUCAGAACCGAAUCCUGAGAAAAAGGAAGAGGAAAAACAGGAACCUAGGCUAAAAAGACGAAGGCGUAAAGGUCGUGCCCGAACCGUUAGCCAGUCAGCAGCUAGAAGAAACCGCCUAAAUUCGACAGACUCAUACAUGACGUCAGGCGAUGAAAAUCUAUUAUCGCCAAAUGAAGGUCAACUGCCUAUCAAACCUUCAAAAGACAGUGAAGGAAGUGAUAGAGCUGUGGGACUUCUUCUUGCCCUUUCUAACGGCGAUAAUGACAGCAAAGAUCACAAGUCUCCUACAAGAGAUGUUGACUCCAAUUCAAAUUCGACACAUUCUUCUCCCGAAACACAACUUUCAUCAGCUUGUCUGCUGGUGCAAGCGGCUGUAGAGCCCUUAGAACAAGGAUUCAAAUUUCCGAAAACGAAAAAAGGAUUGAUGAAUGAAUGGUUGAAUAAAGUCCCUGAACCAGUUCAAACAGCCAGUGCAAUUUCUCCAAAUUCGCCUGUCUCACAAACCAAUAAUAUGGAUGUAGAUUCCUCUAGUGCAAUUUAUGGAGCGUCAAAGAACUUGAUGUCUUUUUGCGACGCAAACAUACAGCCACGAGGAAGCGCAAAGAAAAGGUGGCUGCGACAGGCUAUAAGAGAGGACCAUUCUUGUGACAGCGGAUCAGGCAGGCCAGACUCUCCGCCAAUCAGUGAUAUGGUAGCACCUCCGAAAAAGAGGAGAUUACCACGGGAAUCAUUAUCAACAGAUAACUCGCCUCCUAGCACACCUACAGGUCCAGUACCUCUUUUAAUCAAUAACCUGGAUAAAGAUGUCAAACCAACAGAGGGUGGUGUAGAAAUAGUUUAUAGUGGAACAGACGGAGACAGUUCAAAUCCUACCCUAGAAUCUGAAGCCAUUUUAAAGGAACGUGCAGCUGUGAUGAAGGAAGAAUUUAAUAAACCUGUAUUUAGCUCCAGUUUGGAUCUUCCAAGAACGGAAUUUGGAUCAUUAAAUUCACUUGAUCCCAGACUUUCCCGCGAAAGCCGUUUUCUGACAAAUACAGACUUAGUUGGUACAGUGGAGAAAACAUUGAGUAUACUGGGAUUUGAAAAUACAGAAAAACUCAAAACUGAACCGAUGUUACCAAAACGGAAGGUAAAGCUCUCCAUAACAGAAUAUCGACAGAGGAAAAAACUAACUGUUGAAGAAAAGGCAGCAGAACAAGAACAAGUUAGUACGGAAGAAAACAAUUCUUCAGAGUCAUUUAAAAUUACUCCGAGACAAAGAUCUGCUAGUGCGAGUAGUAGCACUUCAAUAACUUCUAGUGAUGAUGACCUUUCUGUGUCAGACAUCAUAGUUAAAAAAGCUCCUCUAUUUAACUCUGAACCAACUGAACUUGAACGCCAGAGGGAAACGUCUAGCCUAAGGUUGAAAAAGGUGUUUGGAUUAUCAGUUGAUCGAGAGCCACCUCCUGCUUUGAACAUUCAAGCCAUACUAAACAUGGAACUAGAGCCCAAGGUGAGAUCGGCCCAGCCUUUACCUGGUCAACAGAGCCAUGUCCCGGAAAAUACAGAACCUACAGUGAAGGAGUCUGAUUUACAGCCAUCUGGAUCUCCAGAACAAGCCUUGGUAAAAUCUCCGAAACCAGAAGCCAUGGAAACUGAAGACAUUUCUUCGUCCGAAAAUGAAAAUCAGAAUGUAGAAGAAAUGGUUGAUGUCAAGGAGGAAGAAACCAAGGAGGCUGCUCCUAUGAAUAUGUUCUAUACACCAGAUGAGGAAGAUACAACGGAGGUGGUAGAUAAGGAAGAACCUUCAGCUGUAUUUGAAGAACCAGAGAGUGUGAAUUAUGUUCCACCUUUUAAUAACCCAGUGUACCCGAAUAGUAAUUUUCCCACAUUUGCUUCAACAAUUGGGGAACAAUUAAAUUCACUCAAAUAGGGCUAGUUCAGACACGGCGGAAUUCGUGCGGAUCUUAUUUACAAUGGCAAAAUACUAGAAGAUCAUACCAGAACGCGCAGAUCAUGCACCUGUGAGGUAGCCGCCACUCAACCUCUGGAAAAUGAAUUCGCAGGGACACAGCUAUUAGUAUGAUCACAGAAUAAGAAACAAUCAGAAGAUGAUGAUGCCCGGUAUGAGGGACGGAAUCCGUCACCCCCACCAAACUUGGAUAAACUAGCCCAGUCGUGAAAGUUUCAAUAAACAAACAAAAAAUUGUAGAGUGCAAUUUUCAGAGUUAUUAAUUAUUUGUACAGAAUAUUGAGUAUAAGUAAGCACAGUGUACAUAAUAAGUUGUUUAAUUUUUUGGAGAUUUAUUUUUCGGUGCAUAUUGCACUAAAUAUUUUCUACGAAUGGAUUCUAAGUUAUUUUUAUGUUCCGGUGAUUGUAAAGUUAUUGUUGAUUUAGUUUUCUGCUCUCGAUUGUAAAGAUUUUGUGUGAAAUUCUGUAGAUAUAGCUAAAAGAGAGGUAUGUACACUUGUAUAUAAAUAUUUUUAUCAAGUAGAAAAAAUUAGAAAAUCGUUGAUUUUUUGAUUGCAAACUAUCUUUGCAGCAUUGAUUUACAUCAAAGUGCUCAUAGAAAUCUCAUUAUAUUGUAAAUAUAUAUAUUAUAUAACAGAAGUUCAUUUUAUGGAUAUUUUAUUUGAUAAAAUAUAGUAAAUCAAUGACGCGAGAAUUUGUAAAAGUACAAAAUUAUUUAAGAGUUGAUCUCGUUUUUUAAAACUAAGAGUUUUUUUAUUAUUUUUAUAGAGUAAAACCGCCGAUUGGGUUGUUAGAUUAAUAGUGAUGUUAAUGUAGAUGUUCAUGAUAUAUGUAAGUUUCUUCUUAAAAGUUUUUAUAUUUGAUUAUAUUGUUGUGCUUUUUGUUUGGCGCCCACAUGAAGGGGGACCAAUUUUCUCGACUGACCUAUAGAUUGAUGAGCAUUUUUAUAGUUCGUUUUAUAUUGGUAAUACUGUUAUAAGGACAAGCAAUUUGAUUUAUAUAACCAUUACAUAUUAUCUUCUAUUUGAUUUGAAGUUUACAAAGUUUUCAUAAUUCAUAUAAAUUCUAUUUAUAUUUUAGAAGUAAAGAUAUCAAUCUAUGAGCAAUCUCCAUUACAAGUUAAAGCUGUUAACAUUUUAAUGCUUAAUAAAUCUCAUUUUUACAUACAAAUGACGAUCCCUUUGACCCACUCCUGGCUCGCUUUUAAUAAAUAAUUGGCCAAUAUUUCACAUCUGGGCCGGAUAGCUCAUGUGGUAGGAUGUCUGACUUCCGCGCAGAAGGCAGGGGAUCGAAUCACAGCUCCAAUGAGAACAUCUAGACAUUUUGUCUACAGGCCCCAGGUCGACUCAGCCGGAAUAAAAUGAGUACCUUGAGCCCCAAAAAUUAUUAAUACAAUAUUGUGGAAAGGAACAAUUAUAUCAAAUUGCAUAUUAACACAAGGGCCAAAAUAGCUCAGGCGGUAGGAUGUCUGACUUCCACGCAGAUAGACUGGGGUUCGAAUCCCAGCGCCAGUGAGAACAUCUAGACAUUUUUAAAAAUGUCUACAGGCCCCAGGUCGACUCAGCCUGAAUGAAAUGAGUACCUUGGGUAAAACCAGGGGUAAUAAUAGGCGGUUGAAGCGUAGCACUGGCCCUGUUACCUUUAUAUACCGUAGGCCCUAGAGAUAGCAGACUACCUUGAUAUAAUUCCAAAACCGCGCUAGCGUUAUAAGGGUUGACUAUUAUUAUAAAUAUUUCACAUUUAUUUUUCAAUGUAGUCUCCAUUACGUUUUUCCGACUAUAUUUUCGCAUUUCUCAAAAAAAAAGGUUGUUCAACCCCUACAAACCUCUGAUUUACUGCAUAUAUAUGACAUCAUUAUGAAGAAAGUGCAAGUGUUCUUUUCUUCUUAUGGCUAUGUAUUUCGGAUGUUGGACACUGACAUAGCUAUUUUGACUUUGGUUACUGCUCUCCUGAAAAGUAUGAUAGUGGUAAAGUUAAACCAUUUUCGUAAGUUAUAAAGCCACUAUAUUCUUCUCCCUGGACCUCUUUUUCCACACACUUUGAAGUAUGUUCUGAAGUAGCAGAUGCUUGUUCAUUAUGUAUGUUCAUUACGCUUUAUAUGGCAGGGUAUCCUCAACAUUCAUGCUUCAUUUAAGGUCCAUAGCUCCAGUUCAUAUAUGGAGAAUAUUCAUUUUAGCAAACGAACUUAUAUUUCCAAUUUUAUAUCAUGUCUGUUAACAUUUUUUUUUUCAAUUUCGAUGAAAGCCGAUCUUACCUUUCCGAUCCUUAUCUUAAAUUCCGUCGAGUCUUCUCACAUUUCUUUUACAUUUGUGUUCAAAAACUGUAUUCUUCUCCGUACUUCAUUGUUCAUAACUCUA
rnacentral:misc_RNA from 1 species